AAGCCCCAGCCCUUGUCACGUAAACUGUGUGUGACUCAGCACUUCAACAGUCCUUCUAUGAGUUUGGCAGGUAGAGAACAAAAUUAACCUUGAGGAGAAGAAACUUUCUGGGACUAUAUGAGGCUCCAUAACUGUAUUCUGAAUUGUGGCCAAGAAGUUGAUUUUGCUGUUUAAAAUGGCCCCCAAGCAGAGUGCUGAUGUGCUGCCGGCUGGUCCUAAGUGCAAGAAAUCUGUGAUAUGCCUGAAGGAGAAAACAGUUAGACAAGCUUCAUUCAGGCAGGAGUUGCAGUGUUGCUGGCCAUGAGCUUAAUAUUCAUGAAUCAGCAAUGUAUAUUAAGGAAUGUGCCUUUAAACAGAAGCACAUAUAAAAUAAGAUUAUGUAUUUGGUUGACAAAAAUGUUGUGACCAGAGCCACAUAGGAACCUAACCCUGUAUUUCCCUUAGGAGCAAUGGCUCAGUACUUGCUAAUUCCAUGGUGACAGAGACUAUACAAUAUAGAUCCUGUGACUAUUAAGAAUCAGCUGUGUAUUAGAGCACAACACAUAAAGCUUUCCUAUCUUACUUUUUAGUUCUUAGUGUCAGUUUAAGUUUUUCUUAAAUAUGAUAGCUGUGCCAUCAUAUCCCACAAUUUUGAGCCUAAAAAAGAUAAAUUUUCCAUUGCAGUGCACACAUGGCUUUUAAAUGGUAGGGGUAGAGGUAUUAUAGGAGGGCACAGACUUAAAAGAAAGCCACUGCUGCUUUGAGUGGUUCAAAUAUCUUGCCAAUUUCAUAGAUCUUGUACCAUUUAUGAAAUAAAUAAUGUGGCA